GAGGCUACUGUCGAAAUGGUAGGACGCUUAGAUGUCAGUUAAGAAUAUUGUAGGUUCAAUUCCUGCUGGUCUCG
rnacentral:tRNA from 1 species